rnacentral:tRNA from 1 species
GGGAGUGUAGCUCAGCGGUCAGAGCGCCAAGCUUAUACCUUGGUGGUCCUAGGUUCAAAUCCUAGCACUCCCA